AACACACGGGUGCAAUGUGACCUACGCGAUUGCAGUAAUGACAUAUAACCUUAGGGUUGUGCAUAUGUCUCGGUUGAGCCAAAUACGUUCUAGGUGAUCUAUAGUCAUUCCUAGAAGCGUUGAAAAUCCUAGAGUCAUUUCUAGGUUGUCUAGUGUGAUUUAUUCUAGACUUAUCAACAAACGUCCUAGUAUUAUUUCUAGGCGAAUUAAAGCGAUUAACUCUAGACUCAUUAUUCCAAUUCCUAGAAUUGUAACUAGGUGGUCUAAAGUUAUUAAUCCUAGACUUAUUAAAGAACCUAGCAUUGUUUCUAGGUUGUCUAGUCUCGAUCCUAGAAUUAUUUCUAGGUUGCCUAAAAUAACUAUUUCU
rnacentral:lncRNA from 1 species